AGAAACUGCUUAGAGACUUAGAAGGGGGCUGCUAAGGAAGACGGACUGCUUCCUGCUAGAGGUUCCGGGAGACGGAGGAAGCUGCGGCCGCCCGCGCUGGAAGCCCUCAGCCCCUCGGGUGUUGCCGUAGGGCGUUCAGUUUUCCACACUUGUAGCAAAACAAGCCAAGAAGAGGAACAGACACAGCCUUGGUAGUUGUGGCCUGGCCCUCAUUCUACAGACAUGGCAAACAAGGGGAUCAAGAAGCAUCCGCAGUCCUCCCUGGAGGAGAAAAUGAGUUGUGGAAGCUGUAGACUCAGGCAAGAGGAAAGGCAAUGUGGCAAAAGAAUUUGGCAUUACUCCUUCUACUCUGUCUACAUUGUUAAAGUGAAAGUCACUCAGUUGUGUCUGACUUUUUGUGACCCCCGUGGACUAUAUAGUCCAUGAAAUUCUCUAGGCCAGAAUACUGAAGGAUCGUGCCAAAUUUGAAGAAAAGAUGCAGGAGGCAUGUAUGGGACCUCAGCAGAAAAGGAUAAGGAAUGCUUUUUAUGACGACAUUGAUAAGGCUGUUUUUGCCUGGUUUCAAGAAAUCCAUGCCAAAAACGUUCUUGUGACUGGUUCUGUCAUUUGGAAAAAAGCACUAAACUUGGCCAAUAUGCUUGGCUAUGACAGUUUUCAAGCAAGUGUGGGCUGGCUGAACAGACUUCAGGAUCGCCACUAAAUUUCUUUGGAAGCAGUCUGUAGAGGGGAGAGUGAGAGAUUAAUGAACAGUUAAUAAGUGGCAUGCAGAGGAAAUUAUAAAACUAGUUGCUGACUUCAGCCCAGAUGAUAUCUUUAAUGCUGAUGAGACAGGAAUGUUUUUCCAGUUGUUUCCCCAGCACACACUUGCUGCUAAAGGGGACCAUUGUCAAAGGGACAAGAAAGCGAGGCAGCAGUUGACAGCACUCUUUUGUUGCAGCGCUUUAGGAACUGAAAAAAUGAGACCGUUGAUUGUUGGUAGGUCAGCCAACCCACGCUGCCUCAAGAAUGUCCAUUCUCUCCCCUGUGACUACUGAGCCAACCAGCAGGCAUGGAUGACACAGGAUCUGUUUAAUGAGUGGUUGAUGCAAGUGGAUGCCAGGAUGAAACAGGUGGAAUGCUGGAUCCUCCUGCUGAUCGACAAGUGCUCUGCUCACAGCAUGCUUCUUCCAUGCUUAGAAAGCAGUCAGGUGUGGUUUCUGCCCUCAAACUGUACUGCCGUCCUGCGGCCACUGAACCUUGGCAUAAUUCAUACCAUGAAAGUGCUGCACAGGGGCCACCUUCUACAACUGAUCCUCCUCAAGUUCAACAGCAGUGAGGAUAAAGAAAAAGUGGACAUCAAGCAGGCUGAUGACAUGAUUGCUACAGCAUGGUGGUCAGCCAAGCGGUCCACAGUGGUGAAAUGCUGGCAGAAGGCAGGCAUCGUCCCUGUGGAACUGACAGAUUCUGACACAGAAACAGUCACCGGUGAACCAGGUAUUGCCACUGAAAAGUUGUGGCACUUGGUGGCUCUUGCCACCUGUGUCCCAAAUGAAAUAAAUUUCUAAGACUUUGUCACUGCAGACGAUGACCUCAUCAUCUCUCAGGAGCUGUUGGACACAGAGGUAAUCCAGGACAUGGGAGCCAGCCAAAGUACUGAUGAAGCUGGAAGUGAAGAUAAGGGGGAGGCAUCUUUACCACAGCAGCCAAAAAUCACCAUCACAGAGGCCAUCUCAAGUGCACAGAAACUUAGAUGGUUCCUUUCCACCUGUGCUGGUGUUCCUGAUGCCAUUUUUGGACAGCUAAAUGGCAUAGAAGAAUAUUUAAUGAGAUGAGUGAUGCAAACUCUUGUUGAUUCCAAAAUUACAGAUUUCCUCCAAACAAAAUAAUGUAGAAAUUAACUGCCUCUUUUAAUUCAGAGGAUGUAGUUUAUAAGAAUAAAUUUCUUUAGAUAGGAUAUUGAACUUAAAUUUUGAGCAAUAUUAUGACAACAUUCCAGUUUUCUGAAAUAAUCAAGAAACUUUCUUGAAUGGAAUUUGGGACCGAAGGCUUUUCAUUUCUAAUAAGUUCCCAGGUGAUGCCAAUGCUGAUGUGGUCCAAGGCCCGUGCCUGAGAACCACUGGUCCUGCUGGGUUCUACCAUUUCUCUUUUUAACUAGCCAUCUAAAUACUCCCAAUCACUAACUGUC